GGUUUGUACCUAAGAUGUCUUUAAUAUUUCUGCAGAUGUUUCAAUUUCCAUGCAGUUAUCUGGCUUUCAUUGUGAAUGUGAAGAAAUAUGGGGGGAAAUUUAAUCUACUGCCCUUUGAUGAUGUGCAGAAGCACAACCAGUCCUGUAGCAGAUGAGUAAAUUGGUUGCUCAGAGAGGUUGUAGAUCCCCAUCCCUGGAAGUAUCCAAGGCCAGGUUGGACAGAGAUUGGAGUAACCUGGUCUAGUGGAAGGGGGUGGAACAAGAUGACCUUCAAAAGUCCCUUCCAACCCAAACUAUUCUGUGAUUUUGUGAAACAAAAAAUACUUUAAAUAUGAUCUGCACAGUUACAGCAACAUCCAAAGCUGUCGUGUCUUUUUAAGAAUCACAAUAUCAGUUUUGGAUAAUAAAUAUAAGCAUAAUCAUCAAAAUGUGAAACAGAAGGAUUUUAGCAGCACAUUCCUAAUUUAGAACUUUCUUCGGUGCUAUCUCCAGAAUGCUCAAUGCAACCAUGGCUGUUGUAUCCAGGUGGAAUAAGCUGGGAGGUUUGCACAGCUUUGUAGUAGGAAAAUACUCAUUCAAAGGAAGAGGAAAGAAGAUGCCAAACAAUGCUGCAUUCCAGCAUGGAAUUGCUAGGAAAUGCAAAUUCUUAGGUGGAAUGGGGAUUGCUCUGGGAUGGCUGUGGUGCUUUUAAAAAGCUUGGGUUAAUAUGCUAAUGGGAAAUGUGAGAGUGUUUUGAAUGAAGAGGACAGAGACACAGAAAAUGAUUACCAAAGCUAUUACAGUUUUUAGCUCAAGCCAGGAUUAGUGAUGUGUUCCAAGGUAUAUGUAAAUCACCAGCAGCUUAUUUUUCUUUAAAUUGGCAAUAAGAAAACGGUUCUGUUUGCUUUCAUUAUGGUAAAGCUAAGGAGUUCUUGAUUUCUUUGACCUCGGUGACAACUGACCUACAGUCUGUAAAUUAAAGAAUAAAAGCCCACGUUAUUUUUA